CGCUUACCACGGUGGGAUUCAUGACUGGGGUGAAGUCGUAACAAGGUAGCCGUAGGGGAACCUGCGGCUGGAUCACCUCCUUUCUAGA
rnacentral:rRNA from 1 species